GAAAUGCGAUACUUAAUGUGAAUUGCAGAAUUCAGUGAAUCAUCGAGUCUUUGAACGCACAUUGCGCCCCCUGGUAUUCCGGGGGGCAUGCCUGUCCGAGCGUCAUUGCUGCCCUCAAGCACGGCUUGUGUGUUGGGCUUCCGUCCCUGGCAACGGGGACGGGCCCAAAAGGCAGUGGCGGCACCAUGUCUGGUCCUCGAGCGUAUGGGGCUUUGUCACCCGCUCCCGUAGGUCCAGCUGGCAGCUAGCCUCGCAACCAAUCUUUUUAACCAGGUUGACCUCGGAUCAGGUAGGGAUACCCGCUGAACUUAAGC
rnacentral:misc_RNA from 1 species